GACGAACGCUGGCGGCGUGCCUAAUACAUGCAAGUUGAGCGAUGAAGAUUGGUGCUUGCACCAAUUUGCAGAGCAGCGAACGGGUGAGUAACGCGUGGGGAAUCUGCCUUUGAGCGGGGGACAACAUUUGGAAACGAAUGCUAAUACCGCAUAAUAACUUUAAACAUAAGUUUUAAGUUUGAAAGAUGCAAUUGCAUCACUCAAAGAUGAUCCCGCGUUGUAUUAGCUAGUUGGUGAGGUAAAGGCUCACCAAGGCGAUGAUACAUAGCCGACCUGAGAGGGUGAUCGGCCACAUUGGGACUGAGACACGGCCCAAACUCCUACGGGAGGCAGCAGUAGGGAAUCGUCGGCAAUGGACGAAAGUCUGACCGAGCAACGCCGCGUGAGUGAAGAAGGUUGUCGGAUCGUAAAACUCUGUUGGUAGAGAAGAACGUUGGUGAGAGUGGAAAGCUCAUCAAGUGACGGUAACUACCCAGAAAGGGACGGCUAACUACGUG
rnacentral:rRNA from 1 species